AAUUCAAACCAAACGGCCUUUUACCAAACCUGUGCUCACUCUCUGUAUGUUUGGCAGUAGCUAUGGAAUAUUGAUGUUCGUUAAGAGCGUUUCAUAAAUUAAAGAAGCCAAUUUAAGGAAGAAGGAAAGGAAGGUGGUAGUAGUGUGUAUUCGUCCAAAUGAGACACUCGGGCAUGGUUAUGAACACUACUUAAGUAUAGUAAAACAUGUGCCUUAAAGAAGACCAAUUUUUUUUUUUUAAAAGCUUCUUUUUGCCAGUGAUUUCUCUGUUUUGGAAUAUCUUAUCGAUUCGUUGAAAUUAAUGAAGUUAUAUAAUUUUAGCUGAUAGACAUCAAGUCUUUGUAGCGAGCAUCACAAACCAAACAUCAAAUCAAAAAAAGUAUACUUUGUUUUGUUUUAAAAACAUACAAACAUAGUUUCUCUUUUUUUUUUCUUUUUUUGAAAAAGAACAUUCCACUACAAGAAUCAAUUUCUUGCAGUUCCAAUUGUUUUCACCAGAAAACAGUUUUAUAACACAAUAUUAGGCAUAUUUAAAAAGAAUUGGUGCUGAGGUUAUGCUUUUGGAGUAUUUUUUUGUAAUACUCCUACAUGUCAACAUUGCUAUUUGUUGCUUACAUUGACUUUUUAAGUUAAUAGAUUGUCGCUUUAUUUUGAGAACUCUCAUAGAUAGAUAAAACAUAUUGCUUAAACUAAAUGAAUAAAUGAU